UCGGAUUAUUAGUACAAUUAUUUUGGUAGUCGGUGACAAGUUUUAUGUUUUUGAAACGAAAACGUCCCGGCUACGUGCCCGAAAAGUAAGCGGGUGUAUAUUUACAUAUUAAUUACAUUUUUUUUUUUUUUUUUCUUCUUUAAAUUAUAACACAUAUAUGUGUUAUAUUGUUAUAUUUUAUUCGACAGUGAAGCAAAAUAAACUAUCGGUUGCCGUACGAGACCGGCGAUGAUGGGAGACGCAACAGGUACGGCAAACGGACAUUUUAAUUCGUUUUUCACUGGCUCUCGGCUCUCGGUUUGUGGGCUAGACGCGUCGGUAUCGAAAAAUAAUUUUCGUGCCGUCGUUUCGUUUCACCUGUUUGCAUCCAGCACGGGGUCGGGAAACGCAGACGGUAAUAAUGAUGUUUUUUCGAUUCGGUUAAACGAGCCCGUCGCGUUGUGCGGUGUUAAAACGACGAGGGAACGAGUGGUGGCAGCACUGGGAUUCCGAACGCGAACACG